CUCACGACGCCACCGUCUCGCUUCAAAGUCCAGUGAGAAUGGCGGUUAGACAAAGCCGCAAGCAAAUUACACAACCAGAGAUAAAUGAAGAAGUUGAAUCUUCAUCUGAAAAAGGCAAAAGUUUCAUUGCACCCAGAAUCCUUCAACAGCGAGAAUUUCAGGGUGCUUUGACUGCGCAAAGAAGUAAUGGGCUGGGAAAUUCUGGCCAUUUACACGUGCAUAAUGGUGGCAACAGUAGUGCCACAGACAUUCAUGAAUCAGAAAGUCUUUCUGAAAUUGAUGAUGCUGAGGUCAUUGGAUAUCUUAACACCAAGCAUGAGAUGCGUUAUAAGAGGAUCUUGUGGGAAGCAAUGGAUAGAGGAUUUUCAAAGGCUAAGAAACCAAAACUGAAGGCAGAACUCAAAAGAAGUACUUCUGUUGAUAAAGCUGCAAAAGCCACUCCUAAAAUAGAGAAAAAGAGGCCGAGUUCCAGAAUUAACUAUGAUGCUCUUAGUAAGCUAGCUGAUGAACUGAAGUAGAAUUGGACCAAUCCUAGCAUCAUUUGUGGCAGAUGUAUAUCUGUGGAUGCAUGUGCAAACUUAUCAGUUUGACAUUACAACAGAAUCAAGGUCUUGAUAGCAAUGCUGGUCAGUAAGGUGCAGUCGAUACUUACCUCUUCUCUACCGAAAUGAACGUGCCUAAGAACUCUAGGUAAAUAGUGUUGCAGUUGCUGGAUACGGCAUAAUUAUUAGAUGCCAAAAUACUGGUGACAACUUGGUGAGAUGAUAAGAAAGUUGAAGAUCAUCGUGCUGAAGAUCGUAAACUUUCUGAGCAGUCUCCCUGACAAAUCAUCCGUGAAAGGUCCAGCAUAGAGGAUGAGCCUCUCAAAACUAUAAUGAGCUAAAUUUGAUGAGCCUCCAACAAUAAGAUAAGAAGCUUUUGUCUUGUCUGACUUUAGAGUGAAAAACUGGCUUUGUAAUUUAAUAUUCUCGUUUUAAGAAAAAAAUUUCUAUC